CAGUCGCCGCGGGAAUACAGAGGGUGCGAGCGUUAAUCGGAUUUACUGGGCGUAAAGCGUGCGUAGGCGGCUUCUUAAGUCGGAUGUGAAAUCCCUGAGCUUAACUUAGGAAUUGCAUUAGAUACUGGGAAGCUAGAGUAUGGGAGAGGAUGGUAGAAUUCCAGGUGUAGCGGUGAAAUGCGUAGAGAUCUGGAGGAAUACCGAUGGCGAAGGCAGCCAUCUGGCCUAAUACUGACGCUGAGGUACGAAAGCAUGGGGAGCAAACAGGAUUAGAUACCCCUGUAGUCCCUGUCUCUUAUAA
rnacentral:rRNA from 1 species